AAUACAGAGGGUGCAAGCGUUAAUCGGAAUUACUGGGCGUAAAGCGAGCGUAGGUGGCUUGAUAAGUCAGAUGUGAAAGCCCCGGGCUUAACUGGGAACGGCAUCUGAUACUGUUAGGCUAGAGUAGGUGAGAGGAAGGUAGAAUUCCAGGUGUAGCGGUGAAAUGCGUAGAGAUCUGGAGGAAUACCGAUGGCGAAGGCAGCCUUCUGGCAUCAUACUGACACUGAGGUUCGAAAGCGUGGGUAGCAAACAGGAUUAGAUACCCUGGUAGUCCACGCCGUAAACGAUGUCUACUAGUCGUUGGGUCCCUUGAGGACUUAGUGACGCAGCUAACGCAAUAAGUAGACCGCCUGGGGAGUACGGCCGCAAGGUUAAAACUCAAAUGAAUUGACGGGGGCCCGCACAAGCGGUGGAGCAUGUGGUUUAAUUCGAUGCAACGCGAAGAACCUUACCUGGUCUUGACAUAUCUAGAAUCCUGCAGAGAUGCGGGAGUGCCUUCGGGAAUUAGAAUACAGGUGCUGCAUGGCUGUCGUCAGCUCGUGUCGUGAGAUGUUGGGUUAAGUCCCGCAACGAGCGCAACCCUUGUCCUUAGUUACCAGCGGUUUGGCCGGGAACUCUAAGGAUACUGCCAGUGACAAACUGGAGGAAGGCGGGGACGACGUCAAGUCAUCAUGGCCCUUACGACCAGGGCUACACACGUGCUACAAUGGUAGGUACAGAGGGCAGCUACACAGCGAUGUGAUGCGAAUCUCAAAAAGCCUAUCGUAGUCCAGAUUGGAGUCUGCAACUCGACUCCAUGAAGUAGGAAUCGCUAGUAAUCGCGGAUCAGAAUGCCGCGGUGAAUACGUUCCCGGGCCUUGUACACACCGCCCGUCACACCAUGGGAGUUGAUUGCACCAGAAGUGGUUAGCCUAACCUUUUAGGAAGG
rnacentral:rRNA from 1 species